rnacentral:rRNA from 1 species
UACGGAGGGGGCCAGCGUUGUUCGGAAUCAUUGGGCGUAAAGGGCGCGUAGGCGGCCGACCAAGUCGGAGGUGAAAUCCCUCGGCUCAACUGAGGAACUGCCUCCGAUACUGUUCGGCUUGAGUCCCGGAGAGGGUAGUGGAAUUCCGAGUGUAGCGGUGAAAUGCGUAGAUAUCGGAAGGAACAUCAGUGGCGAAAGCGGCUUCCUGGACCAGCACCGACGUUCAAGCACGAAAGCGUGGGGAGCAAACAGG